rnacentral:misc_RNA from 1 species
UCCGAGUUGACCCCGGCAGUCUCCUAUGAGUCCCCACCACCCCGAAGGGCGUGCUGGCAACAUAGGACGAGGGUUGCGCUCGUUGCGGGACUUAACCCAACAUCUCACGACACGAGCUGACGACAGCCAUGCACCACCUGUACACCGACAAUAAAGGGGCCUCAUCUCUGAGGCUUUCCGUACAUGUCAAACCUAGGUAAGGUUCUUCGCGUUGCCUCGAAUUAAGCAACAUGCUCCGCCGCUUGUGCGGGCCCCCGUCAAUUCCUUCGAGUUUUAACCUUGCGGCCGUACUCCCCAGGCGGAUGACUUAAUGCGUUAGCUGCGCCACCGAAAGCCCAUGGCACCCGACAGCUAGUCAUCAUCGUUUACGGCGUGGACUAC